rnacentral:rRNA from 1 species
UACAGAGGUCUCAAGCGUUGUUCGGAUUCAUUGGGCGUAAAGGGUGUGUAGGUGGCGCGCUAAGUCGGGUGUGAAAUUUCGGAGCUUAACUCCGAAACUGCAUUCGAUACUGGCGUGCUUGAGGACUGGAGAGGAGACUGGAAUUCAUGGUGUAGCAGUGAAAUGCGUAGAGAUCAUGAGGAAGACCAGUGGCGAAAGCGACCUUCUGGACGGAUACUGACGCUGAGACGCGAAAGCGUGGGGAGCAAACAGG